GAUGAACGCUGGCGGCGUGCCUAAUACAUGCAAGUCGAGCGAACGGACGAGAAGCUUGCUUCUCUGAUGUUAGCGGCGGACGGGUGAGUAACACGUGGAUAACCUACCUAUAAGACUGGGAUAACUUCGGGAAACCGUAGCUAAUACCGGAUAAUAUUUUGAACCGCAUGGUUCAAAAGUGAAAGACGGUCUUGCCGUCACUUAUAGAUGGAUCCGCGCUGCAUUAGCUAGUUGGUAAGGUAACGGCUUACCAAGGCAACGAUGCAUAGCCGACCUGAGAGGGUGAUCGGCCACACUGGAACUGAGACACGGUCCAGACUCCUACGGGAGGCAGCAGUAGGGAAUCUUCCGCAAUGGGCGAAAGCCUGACGGAGCAACGCCGCGUGAGUGAUGAAGGUCUUCGGAUCGUAAAACUCUGUUAUUAGGGAAGAACAUAUGUGUAAGUAACUGUGCACAUCUUGACGGUUCCUAAUCAGAAAGCCACGGCUAACUACGUG
rnacentral:rRNA from 1 species